AAUUACAUACUUUAUACAAAAGGCUUAGCUUGCACCUAAAAAUAAAGUCCUCGACUUUGUAAUUA
rnacentral:tRNA from 1 species